rnacentral:rRNA from 1 species
AGCGAACGCUGGCGGCAGGCUUAACACAUGCAAGUCGAGCGGGCAUCCUUGUGGUGUCAGCGGCAGACGGGUGAGUAACGCGUGGGAACGUGCCCUUCGGUUCGGAAUAACUCAGGGAAACUUGAGCUAAUACCGGAUACGUGCGAGAGCAGAAAGGUUUAUCUGCCGAAGGAUCGGCCCGCGUCUGAUUAGCUAGUUGGUGAGGUUAUGGCUCACCAAGGCGACGAUCAGUAGCUGGUCUGAGAGGAUGAUCAGCCACACUGGGACUGAGACACGGCCCAGACUCCUACGGGAGGGAGCAGUGGGGAAUAUUGGACAAUGGGGGCAACCCUGAUCCAGCCAUGCCGCGUGAGUGAUGACGGCCUUAGGGUUGUAAAGCUCUUUUCUCCGGGACGAUAAUGACGGUACCGGAGGAAUAAGCCCCGGCUAACUUCGUG